GAUGAAGAACGUAGCGAAAUGCGAUAAGUAAUGUGAAUUGCAGAAUUCAGUGAAUCAUCGAAUCUUUGAACGCAUCUUGCGCUCCUUGGUAUUCUGAGGAGCAUGCCUGUUUGUGUGUCAUUAAAUUCUCAACUACACUGACUUUGAAUUGGUGUGGCUUGGAUUUGGGGGGAAAAUUGUUGUGGGCUUUUUGUAUAGUCUGCUCCCCUGAAAUUGAUUAGCGGUACCUUUGUGGAACUGUCUACAGGUGUGAUAAUUAUCUACAUCUUAGACAUCUGCUGGAAUGCUGCUUUCUAAACCUUACUUGUAUUGACAAUCUUGACCUCAAAUCAGGUAGGACUACCCGCUGAACUUAAGCAUAUCAAUAAGCGGAGGA
rnacentral:misc_RNA from 1 species